rnacentral:piRNA from 1 species
GUUUUACUUUGUCGUUUGACA